UACGUAGGGGGCAAGCGUUGUCCGGAAUCAUUGGGCGUAAAGCGCGUGUAGGCGGCUCGGUAAGUCCGCUCUGAAAGUCCAGGGCUCAACCCUGGGAUGCGGGUGGAUACUGCCGAGCUCGAGUCCGGAAGAGGCGAGUGGAAUUCCUGGUGUAGCGGUGAAAUGCGCAGAUAUCAGGAGGAACACCAAUGGCGAAGGCAGCUCGCUGGGACGUGACUGACGCUGAGACGCGAAAGCGUGGGGAGCAAACAGG
rnacentral:rRNA from 1 species